rnacentral:rRNA from 1 species
AGCAGUCGCCGCGGUAAUACGUAGGUGGCAAGCGUUGUCCGAAGUUACUGGGCGUAAAGAGCGCGUAGGCGGGUCUCUAAGUGAGGGGUGAAAGGUUCAGGGCUCAACCCGGACACUGCCUUUCAUACUGGGAGCCUUGAGUGUGGGAGAGGCGAGUGGAAUUCUUGGUGUAGCGGUGAAAUGCGUAGAUAUCAAGAGGAAUACCCAUGGCGAAGGCAGCUCGCUGGCCUAUAACUGACGCUGAGGCGCGAAAGCUGGGGGAGCAAACAGGAUUAGAUACCCGUGUAGUCCCUGUCUCUUAUA